rnacentral:rRNA from 1 species
GACGAACGCUGGAGGCGUGCUUAACACAUGCAAGUCGAACGAUGAAAUGGAGCUUGCUCCAUGGAUUAGUGGCGAACGGGUGGGUAACACGUGAAUAACCUGCCCUUAAUUUUGGAAUAACCCAGGGAAACCUGGGCUAAUACCGGAUAAGUAAACCUGUGGCAUCACAUGGUUUUGGAAAGUUCUGCGAUUAAGGAUGGAUUCGCGGCCUAUCAGCUUGUUGGUGAGGUAAUGGCUCACCAAGGCGACGACGGGUAGCCGGCCUGAGAGGGUGAACGGCCACACUGGGACUGAGACACGGCCCAGACUCCUACGGGAGGCAGCAGUGGGGAAUAUUGCGCAAUGGACGAAAGUCUGACGCAGCGACGCCUCGUGAGGGACGAAGGUCUUCGGAUUGUAAACCUCUUUCAGCAGGGACGAAGCGAAAGUGACGGUACCUGCAGAAGAAGCACCGGCUAACUAUGUGCCAGCCGCCGCCGUAA